GAUGAACGCUGGCGGCGUGCCUAAUACAUGCAAGUCGAGCGAACGGACGAGAAGCUUGCUUCUCUGAUGUUAGCGGCGGACGGGUGAGUAACACGUGGAUAACCUACCUAUAAGACUGGGAUAACUUCGGGAAACCGGCGCUAAUACCGGAUAAUAUUUUGAACCGCAUGGUUCAAAAGUGAAAGACGGUCUUGCUGUCACUUAUAGAUGGAUCCGCGCUGCAUUAGCUAGUUGGUAAGGUAACGGCUUACCAAGGCAACGAUGCAUAGCCGACCUGAGAGGGGGAUAGGCCACACUGGAACUGAGACACGGUCAAGACUACUACGGGAGGCAGCAGUAGGGAAUCGUACGCAAUGGGCGAAAGCCUGACGGAGCAACGCCGCGUGAGUGAUGAAGGUCUUCGGAGCGUAAAACUCUGUUAUUAGGGAAGAACAGAUGUGGAAGUAACUGUGCACAGCUUGACGGUACCUAAUCAGAAAGCCACGGCUAACUACGUG
rnacentral:rRNA from 1 species